GAUUAUGGCUCAGGAUGAACGCUAGCUACAGGCUUAACACAUGCAAGUCGAGGGGCAGCAUUGGAGUAGCAAUACUCAGAUGGCGACCGGCGCACGGGUGAGUAACACGUAUCCAACCUGCCGCUUACUCGGGGAUAGCCUUUCGAAAGAAAGAUUAAUACCCGAUGGUAUAAAGAGUUCGCAUGUUCUCUUUAUUAAAGAAUUUCGGUAAGCGAUGGGGAUGCGUUCCAUUAGAUAGUUGGCGGGGUAACGGCCCACCAAGUCUACGAUGGAUAGGGGUUCUGAGAGGAAGGUCCCCCACAUUGGAACUGAGACACGGUCCAAACUCCUACGGGAGGCAGCAGUGAGGAAUAUUGGUCAAUGGACGAGAGUCUGAACCAGCCAAGUAGCGUGAAGGAUGACUGCCCUAUGGGUUGUAAACUUCUUUUAUAAGGGAAUAAAGUGAGGGACGUGUCCCUUUUUGUAUGUACCUUAUGAAUAAGGAUCGGCUAACUCCGUGCCAGCCGCAGC
rnacentral:rRNA from 1 species